AUUGAACGCUGGCGGCAUGCUUUACACAUGCAAGUCGAACGGUAACAGGCCUUCGGUUGCUGACGAGUGGCGAACGGGUGAGUAAUGCAUCGGAACGUGCCCAGAGGUGGGGGAUAACGCAGCGAAAGCUGUGCUAAUACCGCAUGUGAUCUGAGGAUGAAAGCGGGGGACCAAGCAGCAAUGUUUGGCCUCGCGCCUCUGGAGCGGCCGAUGUCAGAUUAGGUAGUUGGUGGGGUAAAGGCCUACCAAGCCGACGAUCUGUAGCUGGUCUGAGAGGACGACCAGCCACACUGGGACUGAGACACGGCCCAGACUCCUACGGGAGGCAGCAGUGGGGAAUUUUGGACAAUGGGCGCAAGCCUGAUCCAGCAAUGCCGCGUGCGGGAAGAAGGCCUUCGGGUUGUAAACCGCUUUUGUACGGAACGAAAAGGCUCUGGCUAAUACCUGGGGCUGAUGACGGUACCGUAAGAAUAAGCACCGGCUAACUACGUG
rnacentral:rRNA from 1 species